rnacentral:rRNA from 1 species
GACGAACGCUGGCGGCGUGCUUAACACAUGCAAGUCGAACGAAGUGGCGAACGGGUGAGUAAUACGUGGGUAACCUGCCCUCCUUUUUUGUAUAAGCCUUGGGAAAGGUGACUAAUACCGAAGAACUGUGGAUGGGCGCGUGGCCUAUCAGCUUGUUGGUGGGGCGCGGGCCUACCAAGGCGGUGACGGGUAGCCGGCCUGAGAGGGUGCCAGGCGACAGUGGGACUGGGAUACGGCCCAGACUCCUACGGGGGGAAGCAGUGGGGGAUAUUGCACAAUGGGUGAAAGCCUGAUGCAGCGACGCCGAGUGGGGGAUGAAGGCUUUAGGGUUGUAACCCGCUGUCGAGAUCGAACGGGUAGGUGGAGAAGAAGCGCCGGCUAACUACGUGCCAGCAGCCGCGGUAAUAC